UCACUGUAACGUUUCCCCAUUUAACAAAACAUUUAUUUAUGUCCACAGUCAUAUCAACUAGCAAAUAAAACAUCCAAACACUGUAAUGAACCUCCAAACACAGCAGAUCAAAUGUAAAUAUUAGAAGUAGUUAUAUUUUAUUAUUGGUCACAUCGGUGGUAUAAUACAGACAGCUGGAGCCAGGGGGUCAGAGGUCAGGGCUCUGCCCUGCUGGGUCAGGAGAGGAGGGGCUUAGUGGUACUUCCUCCAGCGGUCGUGCUCUGAGAGGAGAAGAAGAGAGGGAGAGAGAGAGAGAGAGGAGAAGGAGAGAGGGAGAAUGGAGAAGUGGGGACAGAGAGCGAGAGGGGACAGAGGUUAACGUCAGAUCGUCCUUCCCAGUGUCUGUACUCACUGAGGUGGUCGUACUCCCACAGUGUCUGUACUCCCACAGGGUUAGGGUUAGUACUCACUGAGGUGGUCGUACUCCCACAGUGCAGUGUCUGUACUCCCACAGUGUCUGUACUCCCACAGGGUUAGGGUUAGUACUCACUGAGGUGGUCGUACUCCCACAGUAUCUGUACUUACUGAGAUGGUCGUACUCCCACAGUAUCUGUACUCCCACAGUGUCUGUACUCCCACAGUGUCUGUACUUACUGAGGUGGUCGUACUCCCCCAGUGUCUGUACUCCCCCAGUGUCUGUACUCCCCCAGUGUCUGUACUCCCCCAGGGUUAGUACUCACUGAGGUGGUCGUACUCCCCCAGGGUUAGUACUCACUGAGGUGGUCGUACUCCCCCAGGGUUAGGGUUAGUACUCACUGAGGUGGUCGUACUCCCCCAGGGUUAGUACUCACUGAGGUGGUCGUACUCCCACCAGGGUUAGUACUCACUGAGGUGGUCGUACUCCCACCAGGGUUAGUACUCACUGAGGUGGUCGUACUCCCACCAGGGUUAGUACUCACUGAGGUGGUCGUACUCCCAGAGGUAACUGAGGGCCACGUAUCCAACCAGCAGCAUGGCCACGCCUCCGAUACCUCCCUUCUUCACGUUGAUGUACUUGUUGUAAUAUCUGUCAUGGCCUG
rnacentral:lncRNA from 1 species